rnacentral:rRNA from 1 species
GAUGAACGCUAGCGGCAGGCCUAAUACAUGCAAGUCGAACGGUGUAGCAAUACACAGUGGCGCACGGGUGCGUAACACGUAUGCAACCUACCUUACAUUGGGGGAUAGCCUUUCGAAAGGGAGAUUAAUACCGCAUAAGACAGUAACUAGGCAUCUAGUAGCUGUUAAAGAUUUAUCGAUGUAAGCUGGGCAUGCGUCCAAUUAGCUAGUUGGUGAGGUAACGGCUCACCAAGACGAUGAUUGGUAGGGGAACUGAGAGGUCAAUCCCCCACACUGGCACUGAGAUACGGGCCAGACUCCUACGGGAGGCAGCAGUAGGGAAUAUUGGGCAAUGGGCGCAAGCCUGACCCAGCCAUGCCGCGUGCAGGAAGAAGGCGUUAUGCGUUGUAAACUGCUUUUAUACAGGAAGAAACGACCCUUGCGAGGGGCAUUGACGGUACUGUAUGAAUAAGCACCGGCUAACUCCGUGCCAGCAGCCGCGGUAAAAC